GGGGGCGAUUGGAUUCGACCGGGCGAGAAGAAGGAAACGUGGCGUGUCGAGGUUGUCAGGUGGCCUCGUAAAAAACCUGGCGAAAAACCUAUAUGGCAACUACUCAUAUGCCAUGGCUGCCUAGAUAGCGGUAGCCCGUUGCGUGGGAGACGCCCACUAUUUUGCGCAGCGAUGACAGUGGGCUAGUGCUUGCCUGACGCCUGGCCGGGCUCGCGCGAAACAACAGUCGGGCUGGGGAAUCCGGAAGCCUGUCGACCGGCGUCCGAGGACCCGAGAUUUAAACGAUCGACUAUGCACGUAGAGGCGUUUCCGGAUCCGUCGCGGGACGGGGGUUCGAUUCCCCCCGCCUCCAAUU
rnacentral:tmRNA from 1 species